rnacentral:ncRNA from 1 species
UAAACUAUGUGUAACUGGCGGAGCAUGGGGAACCAUGAGGGAGCACAUAGAUAACAGCCGUACGCCUGGGCAGAGGUA